rnacentral:rRNA from 1 species
AUUGAACGCUGGCGGCAGGCCUAACACAUGCAAGUCGAGCGGAUGAAGGGAGCUUGCUCCUGGAUUCAGCGGCGGACGGGUGAGUAAUGCCUAGGAAUCUGCCUGGUAGUGGGGGAUAACGUCCGGAAACGGGCGCUAAUACCGCAUACGUCCUGAGGGAGAAAGUGGGGGAUCUUCGGACCUCACGCUAUCAGAUGAGCCUAGGUCGGAUUAGCUAGUUGGUGGGGUAAAGGCCUACCAAGGCGACGAUCCGUAACUGGUCUGAGAGGAUGAUCAGUCACACUAGAACUGAGACACGGUCCAGGCUCCUACGGGAGGGAGCAGUGGGGAAUGUUGGACAAUGGGCGAAAGCCUGAUCCAGCCAUGCCGCGUGUGUGAAGAAGGUCUUCGGAUUGUAAAGCACUUUAAGUUGGGAGGAAGGGCAGUAAGUUAAUACCUUGCUGUUUUGACGUUACCAACAGAAUAAGCACCGGCUAACUUCGUG